AAAUUGAAGAGUUUGAUCAUGGCUCAGAUUGAACGCUGGCGGCAGGCCUAACACAUGCAAGUCGAACGGUAGCACAGAGAGCUUGCUCUCGGGUGACGAGUGGCGGACGGGUGAGUAAUGUCUGGGAAACUGCCUGAUGGAGGGGGAUAACUACUGGAAACGGUGGCUAAUACCGCAUAACGUCGCAAGACCAAAGAGGGGGACCUUCGGGCCUCUUGCCAUCAGAUGUGCCCAGAUGGGAUUAGCUAGUUGGUGAGGUAACGGCUCACCAAGGCGACGAUCCCUAGCUGGUCUGAGAGGAUGACCAGCCACACUGGAACUGAGACACGGUCCAGACUCCUACGGGAGGCAGCAGUGGGGAAUAUUGCACAAUGGGCGCAAGCCUGAUGCAGCCAUGCCGCGUGUAUGAAGAAGGCCUUCGGGUU
rnacentral:rRNA from 1 species